AUGUCGUUAUGAGGGUACUUUCGUAGUAACUCCUUGAACCGCUCCCAUGCCACAUAUAAAGAUUCUUCAUCAAGUUGUUGAAAUGAAGUGAUUUCAUUUUGGAUCUU
rfam:Gossypium arboreum cultivar AKA8401 contig_103138_1, whole genome shotgun sequence.